AAGACCUUGCGCUUUUGGAGCGGCCGAUGCCUGAUUAGCUUGUUGGUAAGGUAAAAGCUUACCAAGGCUUCGAUCAGUAGCUGGUCUGAGAGGACGGCCAGCCACACUGGGACUGAGACACGGCCCAGACUCCUACGGGAGGCAGCAGUGGGGAAUUUUGGACAAUGGGGGCAACCCUGAUCCAGCCAUGCCGCGUGAGUGAAGAAGGCCUUCGGGUUGUAAAGCUCUUUCAGCCGGAACGAAACGGUUACGGAUAAUACCCGUGACUAAUGACGGUACCGGAAGAAGAAGCACCGGCUAACUACGUGCCAGCAGCCGCGGUAAUACGUAGGGUGCGAGCGUUAAUCGGAAUUACUGGGCGUAAAGCGUGCGCAGGUGGUUUUGUAAGUCAGAUGUGAAAGCCCCGGGCUCAACCUGGGAACU
rnacentral:rRNA from 1 species